CCUACGGGAGGCAGCAGUAGGGAAUAUUGCUCAAUGGGGGAAACUCUGAAGCAGCAACGCCGCGUGGAGGAUGAAGGUUUUCGGAUUGUAAACUCCUUUUGUUAGAGAAGAUAAUGACGGUAUCUAACGAAUAAGCACCGGCUAACUCCGUGCCAGCAGCCGCGGUAAUACGGAGGGUGCAAGCGUUACUCGGAAUCACUGGGCGUAAAGAGCGCGUAGGCGGGAUAGCAAGUCAGAUGUGAAAGCCUAUGGCUUAACCAUAGAACUGCAGUUGAAACUGUUAUUCUAGAGUAUGGGAGGGGUAGGUGGAAUUCUUGGUGUAGGGGUAAAAUCCGUAGAGAUCAAGAGGAAUACUCAUUGCGAAGGCGACCUGCUAGAACAUAACUGACGCUGAUGCGCGAAAGCGUGGGGAGCAAACAGGAUUAGAUACCCCGGUAGUC
rnacentral:rRNA from 1 species